AUUUAUAUAGUAUAUUAUUAUAUUUGACUUCCAAUCAAAAGAUCUAAAUUUUAGUAUAAAUA
rnacentral:tRNA from 1 species